UUUUUUUUGAAAUUUUUUUAAUAUUUAUUUUUUAGUUUUCGGCGGACACAACAUCUUUGUUUGUAUGUGGUGUUGAGGAUCGAACCCGGGCCACACGCAUGCCAGGCCAGCGCGCUACCACUUGAGCCACAUCCCCAGCCCCCUUGAGGUGAAUCUUAACUGUUUCCAAGAAUCAUCUUUCUCUCAAUGGAUAGAGGUUUGCCACCCUGAAGCAUAUUCAGGAAUGUACUGUACAUUCUAAAGGCAGUUUUAAAUGAGCCAUUUUUAAACAAUAGAUACAUUAGUGUUUAGAAUAAGGAAACGGCUGCUGGGGUCAGUACUUUGAGAAAAUUAUUACAGCCAGAUGUAGUUCCCAGCACCUGUAAUUCCAGUGACUUGAGGGGCUGAGAGGAGGAUUACAAAUUGAAGGCCAGCGACUGCGGAUGUAGCUCAGUGGUAACGCAUCCCUGGGUUCAAUCCCCAGUACCAAAAAAACAAAAGAAUUAUUACAAGUCAUUCAACGUUUGAAACAAGGAUACAAUCCGCACUCACAAAAAAACAGGUAUUUCAGUGGGGAGACUUGUAGAUAAUAUUACCAAAACCUUAAGGGACAUACAUUCUGUAAUUGUCUCCAUUCAAAUGCAUCAGAACUGCUAGAGCUAGAAUGAUAUUCAAAUUUGGGUGGAGCAUUAAGGAAUAAUUGGGUGAACAAGGACGGGCCUGAAUUUUGAGUUUGUUUCCUCAACUAAUAGAAAUACAUGUGUGUUGUACUCAACUACAUCCUAGGCUAAAGUUUCUGGUUCCUUUGUUUUUGGCAGGACGGAGACCUAAAGCCUCUGAAAUAUUGCUGGGUUUCUCACUGGAUGGUCUUGGUGACUACUUUUUAAAAAGAUUCACUGUCAGUCCUCUAUAUGCACCAAAUGUUCUAGAUUAGUGCUGUCCAGUAGAAAUAUAAAGUCUCAUGUAAUUUUAAAUAGCCACAUUGCAAAAGGUAAUGUGUAAAGAAAUUUUAAUGUUUUAUUUAAUGCAAUAAAGUAAGUAUUUCAACAUGUGAUCCAUAUAAAAUUUUUGAGAUAAUCACAUUUUUUUCAUGCUGAAUCUUCAAUUUGGACUAUCAACAUCUCAAGUGCUCACUAAUCACAUGUAGCUACUAUAUUGUAUGGCAAAG
rnacentral:lncRNA from 1 species